GAGGCUAAAGCGCAGGGGAGGGCUAGAGACCUUCAGCGCUCGCCGACGGCCCGCCCCUUUCGCCCGCUGCGAUUGGCUCAAAUCCUCGACCUCUCUUUUGAUUGGCGAUUAGGGCAGUCAAAUUUCUCUCGGCUCUGGGUGCGCGGAGAGUAGGGCGGGGGAUUGGUGGGGGGCGGGGAGAGGAGUCAAACUGACGUGUGAAGCGGGUGAGCCAGGCCCGGCUGCUCAGUAGCCACUUUCUGCACGCCGUGCCAACUCCGAGGCUAGCCUAGUUGGGUACUAGGGGCUCUGGGUUCUCGCAUUUAUGAAGCAGUGGGCUCCUCCACUCUGGGAAUUCGAGCUGUUGGGGAGACUCAUGGGCGAGAUCCCCCGCAGCCGAGGGCAGUGAGGUCAGCAGGUUUGGCAGGGCUGAGUCUGGCCGAGCUGUCGGAACUCAGCCGAUCCCAGCUCGCAUCUGGCCCCCAGGUCAGGGCGUCUGGCGACUCCUCCGAGAGCAGCCCCGGACAAGCUUCAUCCCUCUCCCAAAUGUAACAUUUGCUUGAAACUUUCCAUGAUUGGCUACUACCCAGACGUGAAGUGUUUUGGAAAAAAUGAGCAAAAUCCUUUCAGCUAUGCGACUUAAGCCAUGGGAGGGUGGAGGUGGAGGGAGGGCGACGAGUGGCGAGGCGGGGUGGGGGGGUUGCGGAAUCCAGAAUACGACAGCUUUCUUUUUUAAAAAUUAUUUUUUUUAAAUGUACACCGAUACUUCAAAAAUAGUUUUGAAUAGCAAUGAUUCCGUUAACGCUAUUUGCUUGAAAGCAAAACUGUAGAUACUUUUCUAUUUUAAAAACUGCUUCACUGUUUUAAAAUAGAAGCGUUGGAAUACGGGUUCUCUAAGUUAUUUCAGCAUCACUUUAUCCAUUUAUCCUUUUGGACCUGUGGAAAAACAGCCAAGAACCUGAUAAACUGAGUUAUUCCCUGAGGCUACAUACACAUUACAUUCCAGGACAAAAAAAUGUUUUUAGACUAUUUCCUGAAACAAUUAGGUUUAAAUGGAGUAGAUCCACAGAGUUUAAUAAGAUGUUUUGGGGGUUGGUGUGUUGUUACUGUGUUGUUGUGUGUGUUCGUUUUGAGAAAGGGUCUCACUCUGUCGCCCAGGCUGAAGUGCAGUGGCGCGAUCACGGCUUACUGCAGCCUUGAACUCAGGGGCCCCGGUGAUCCUCCCACCUCAGCCAGCACCUGCUUUUUUUUUUUUUUUUUUUUGUAUUUUUGGUAGAGACGGGGUUUCGCCAGGUUGCCCAGGCUGGUUUCGAGGGAUCUGCACCCCCUGGGCCUCCCAAAUUGCUGGGAUUACAGGCGUGAGCCACCACGCCCGGCCUAAUGAGGUGAUUUUUAUGAAACUAGAAGGGUGUAUGUCAGGUGCAUCAUUAAUUGAUAACCGGAUUUAGUAAUCUAGUGAACUGUAAAAUAUUUCAAUAGAUUAAUAAUUAGGAAAUCUGGCUGUACCUACAGGUUAUGUGACCUUUGGCAUGUUACAGCCUUGCCGUGUUUUAAGUUUUUUUUUUCUAUCUGCUCUUUAACCAGAAGAACAUGGAAAAAACUAUCAUGUGUAAAACAUAGUCACCUUUUUUAUUUAAAAAAAAAAAAGCAGGACAAUGGGAAAGUACUUAGAUAGCUUUUAUUACUAAUGUUACUUGUCCAAAAAUGUUGAUGAAUCAAAGUAAUGAUAUAUUCAGGAAUAGAGACAUCAAGUUUCAGAGGAAAGGUAACAAAUAUUACCCCUGCCUAACCCUGACUUGUUAAUGACUUGCAGACUUUAAUAUUGUCCAAUAUAUUAGCUGCAAUUAGUUAUCAAUUUUAACUGCCUCUUUUUUCUCAACAACACAAAGCAACUGACAAUCCAGUUACUGUUUUCCUCUCAGUUUCUCCCUUAAUUUCUCUGAGUUUCUUAUGAAAAUUGUUUUAGAUAUUUAAAGGUUUAAAGGCUUUAUAGUUCACUUAACAAAUAAGAAAGCUAACCUAGUAACAGAUUAUUUUCUAGAGUUUCUAGUUUCUAGAGUUUUAUUUUCUGGUAGUUUCCAGACUUUCUGCUUUUGGUGAGAAUGGAUAGAUAUUACUCCCAAAAUUUGGAAGAAUUGAGUCCACUGAAAUUUAACCCCUUGUUUGAGAAGGCUAAUGAAAAGGUUAUAGACAGCAAAGAAACUAUUAUAAAUAGAAUAAAAAUGUGACUCAAUACUUUCAUUUGAUUCUUUUCUUCAUCUUAUAUAAUUUUUUAAUCUUUAAAGAUAUUUUUAUCUACAACUUUGUAACCAUUACACAACUUUGAAGUUUCAGUUAUGUUAAAUUGAAUUAUAUCAUUACAUAAACUCAUGUAAUCAUCAUGUAAAAAGUAUAAAAACAUUUGUAUACAUACAAUAAGUAGUCCACCAAAAUAUCUACAAAUAGAAAAAUGCUCUCCACAUUAACUAUGGUUGGGUUGUCAGAUCUACUCUUCGACUUCCUUUUUGCUCCUAAGUGCAGCUACACUACAAAGAGUUGCUGUCCCAUAGCCAUCAUCAGGUAAUCAGCCAUCAAAAGGAAUAAUUGGAAUUUGUGCACUUUGUGUCUGUUCUAACUUGAAGAAAGGUUCCUGUGCUUCUAUGUUCCUGAGCUUCUUUGUUCUGUCGAAGAUUACAAAAGGCUAAUGUUUCAAGAUCAUAAUAAAAUCCAUAUAUAGGCCGGGCGCGGUGGACUCACACCUGUAAUCCCAGCACUUUGGGAGGCUGAGGCGAGCAGAUCACAAGGUCAGGAGAUUGAGACCAUCCUGGCUAACACGGUUAAACCCCAUCUCUACUAAAAAUACAACGAUUAGCUGGGCGUGGUGGCACACACCUGUAAUCCCAGCUACUUGGGAGGCUGAGGCAGGAGAAUCACUCAAACCUGGGAGGCCGAGGUUACAGUGAGCCAAGAUCGCACCACUGCACUCCAGCCUGGCAACAGAGCGAUACUACAUCUCAAAAAAUAAAAUAAAAUAAGAUAAAAUAAUAUAUAUAUAUAGAAAUUCCAGAUUGCGCCUUCACAAAAACUAGUAGAUUAUUUGUUGACCUAGAACUAAAAAGAAAGUAAUUUUCCUUUGACUAACAGCUUAAAAGAAUUGCCUAAGCCUUUUUUUGAAAUUCUUCUGUUUGGAGAAUAGAGUAAGGUUCAGGAAGCCUCUAAACAAGCUUCUGCUACUACUUCCCUUUCUUCUGUUGGUUUCCUGCUUUAACUGGCCAAAUUCCUAGCCUCACUGAUAAGCCCUGCCAAACAUGGCUUAUUUUUCCAAUACUGAAUAUAGAUGUGUACCAAAGUAAGUAUGGUAAAUCCCUCAUCUAUAAAAAGGGGAUAAUAUGGCCAGGCAAGGUGGCUCACGCCUGUAAUCCCAGCACUUUGGGAGGCCGAAGCAGGUGGAUCACCUGAGGUCAGGAGUUCAAGACCAGCCUGGCCAACAUGGUGAAACCCCAUCUCUACUAGAAAUUCAAAAAAUUAGCCAGGCAUGGUGGUGCAUGCCUGUAAUCCCAGCUACUCGGGAGGCUGAGGCAGGAGAAUUGCUUGAACCUGGGAGGCAGAGGUUGCAGUGAGCCGAGAUCUAGCCAUUGCACUCCAGCCUGGGCUAUGAGAGAGCAAGACUCCAUCUCAAAAAAACAAAGGGGGGCGGAUAAUAUUGGUACUUAUAGGGUUGUUGUGUGGAAUAAAUAAACAACACAUAUAAAGCACCCAGAAUAAUGACAGUAGCACUCUGUAAGUGUUAUAGCUGUUAUUAUCAAACCAUAGGUGAAUAAAUUUUGACAUGCAAUGUGAUCAGUUUUUACACUUAUUGUUGAAAAGCCAAACAAUUGUUUUAAACCAUCUAAUAAUAAAAUACCAUUUAAGGGG
rnacentral:lncRNA from 10 species